rnacentral:rRNA from 1 species
UACAGAGGUCCCGAGCGUUGUUCGGAUUCAUUGGGCGUAAAGGGUGCGUAGGCGGCUUCCUAAGUUUGAUGUGAAAUCCUGGGGCUCAACCCUGGAACUGCAUUGAAUACUGGGAGGCUAGAGUACUGGAGAGGAAACUGGAAUUUACGGUGUAGCAGUGAAAUGCGUAGAGAUCGUAAGGAAGACCAGUGGCGAAGGCGAGUUUCUGGACAGUUACUGACGCUGAGGCACGAAAGCGUGGGGAGCAAACAGG